rnacentral:rRNA from 1 species
CCUACGGGUGGCAGCAGUGAGGAAUAUUGGUCAAUGGACGAGAGUCUGAACCAGCCAAGUAGCGUGAAGGAUGACUGCCCUAUGGGUUGUAAACUUCUUUUAUAUGGGAAUAAAACGUUCCACGUGUGGGAUUUUGUAUGUACCAUAUGAAUAAGGAUCGGCUAACUCCGUGCCAGCAGCCGCGGUAAUACGGAGGAUCCGAGCGUUAUCCGGAUUUAUUGGGUUUAAAGGGAGCGUAGGUGGAUUGUUAAGUCAGUUGUGAAAGUUUGAGGCUCAACCGUAAAAUUGCAGUUGAAACUGGCAGUCUUGAGUACAGUGGAGGUAGGCGGAAUUCGUGGUGUAGCGGUGAAAUGCUUAGAUAUCACGAAGAACUCCGAUUGCGAAGGCAGUUCACUGGACUGCAACUGACACUGAGGCUCGAAAGUGUGGGUAUCAAACAGGAUUAGAUACCCUUGUAGUC